GACAGUUUGAGCUUUGAGAAAAGGUGCUACAUGUAAAACUCGGAGCAAGUUCACUAGGAAAAAACGUGUCCACAGACUAAAAGAAAAAAAGAAAGAGAAAAUAAACAUCUUAGUAAAACCUAUAGCUCCCACGUUACGCUCGAAAUCUAAAAUUAUUAAAGAGAACUAAUUCGAAAACGAACAAAAACGUUUUAAAUUCGUGUUCAACAAUAAAGAGAUUAAUCUUUGACCAUAAUAUCAUUUGCAGACUGUUGGCACUGCCAGACAAUGUCGGGAUCAUCACAAUGUAGCCGUUGCAAAUUGGUUAGCGAUUGAAUAUU